rnacentral:rRNA from 1 species
UACAGAGGUCUCGAGCGUUGUUCGGAUUCAUUGGGCGUAAAGGGUGCGUAGGUGGCGCUGUAAGUCGGGUGUGAAAUCCUGGGGCUUAACCCCGGAACUGCAUUCGAUACUGCAGUGCUUGAGGACUGGAGAGGAGACUGGAAUUCAUGGUGUAGCAGUGAAAUGCGUAGAGAUCAUGAGGAAGACCAGUGGCGAAGGCGGGUCUCUGGACAGUUCCUGACACUGAGGCACGAGGGCCAGGGGAGCAAACGGG